rnacentral:tRNA from 1 species
UGGGAGAUCGUCUAAUGGUAGGACAGCGGAUUCUGACUCCGCCAAUCUAGGUUCGAGCCCUAGUCUCCCAG